GAUGAACGCUGGCGGCGUGCCUAAUACAUGCAAGUCGAGCGAACAGACGAGGAGCUUGCUCCUCUGACGUUAGCGGCGGACGGGUGAGUAACACGUGGAUAACCUACCUAUAAUACUGGGAUAACUUCGGGAAACCGGAGCUAAUACCGGAUAAUAUAUUGAACCGCAUGGUUCAAUAGUGAAAUACGGUUUUUCUGUCACUUAUAGAUGGAUCCGCGCCGCAUUAGCUAGUUGGUAAGGUAACGGCUUACCAAGGCAACGAUGCGUAGCCGACCUGAGAGGGGGAUCGGACACACGGGAAGUGAGACACGGUACAGAAUACGACGGGAGGAAGCAGUAGGGAAUAUUCAGCAAUGGGCGAAAGCAUGACGGAGCAACGCCGCGUGAGUGAUGAAGGUCUUCGGAUCGUAAAACUCUGUUAUUAGGGAAGAACAAAUGUGUAAGUAAAUAUGCACGUCUUGACGGUAACUAAUCAGAAAGCCACGGCUAACUACGUG
rnacentral:rRNA from 1 species